CCGACCUUAGCUCAGUUGGUAGAGCGGAGGACUGUAGUGUUUGCGGAUAAAUCCUUAGGUCGCUGGUUCGAAUCCGGCAGGUCGGA
rnacentral:tRNA from 1 species